rnacentral:rRNA from 1 species
AACGAACGCUGGCGGCAUGCCUAACACAUGCAAGUCGAACGAAGCCUUCGGGCUUAGUGGCGCACGGGUGCGUAACGCGUGGGAAUCUGCCCUUUGGUUCGGAAUAACAGUUGGAAACGACUGCUAAUACCGGAUGAUGACGAAAGUCCAAAGAUUUAUCGCCAGAGGAUGAGCCCGCGUAGGAUUAGCUAGUUGGUGUGGUAAAGGCGCACCAAGGCGACGAUCCUUAGCUGGUCUGAGAGGAUGAUCAGCCACACUGGGACUGAGACACGGCCCAGACUCGUGCGGGAGGCAGCAGUGGGGAAUAUUGGACAAUGGGCGAAAGCCUGAUCCAGCAGUGCCGCGUGAGUGAUGAAGGCCCUAGGGUUGUAAAGCUCUUUUACCCGGGAUGAUAAUGACAGUACCGGGAGAAUAAGCCCCGGCUAACUCCGUGCCAGCCGCCGCCGUAA